CCAAAUCAACAUCCGCCGGCUACUAAACACUUUAAGCAUCUGCAACUUCCGGUGACUCUCCCGCCGCCAGUAGCAACUCUUCCUCUUCAAGUCCAACCUUUCUUUCUCCCAUCUCUCCUUCAUCCCCAAUGCUGUUCGCCUCUCCCAAUGACUUUAGUGCCAAGUGUGCUGCCUUCUGCCCUGAUAUCAUCAUCGCCCCGAACGUUGGCCCCUAUGAAUGGCACAGUUUAAGACUAAUAAAUAUGGGUAUAACGAAAUCUUUCGGUGGUAGCAUCUAAUGCAGAUAGCUACCGGAGUAAACAAGUUAGUAGUGAUAGACCCAGAUAAACUCUGAAAAGUGUAAACUCAUCUAAAUGCUGCUAUAUUUUACUGUAUCAUGAUUAUUAAACGGUCUAAAGCAAUAAUCUCUCUCUAGUUAAUUUGUUUACCAUUCUUGGAGCUCCAUCGAUCUCCGCAACCUCCAUGCCGGUGACAAUCAUGCCAGGAACGACCUCUCGAGUGAAUCGAACAAUGGCAUCCUCAGCAGUGUUCAUGUCAAGGGCCUUCAUUCCCGGGACACUAUCAAUCAUGCCGAUGCUCUUGAGGCGCUUGACUCCGGUAGCGCCAAAAGGUCCAUCGUGGCCACAAGAGCUCACAACCACCUUAGCCUCCAUCACAUUGGGGUCCAUGCAGGACUGCGUGUCAUGGUUCAUUGACACAAGAGCCCAGUUGGUGACAACACCGCCAACUCUGCCGCCCUUGACAAUCAAAUCCUCUGCCGCCACGGCGUUGAACAGCUUCACGUUCGGCCGGGCCAAGAGCUUGCUCAUGAUCGUCGACGUGAACAGAGCCGCGUGCUUUAUCACGACAUAGUCGUCUUGCUCGUCAUACUCCACACCCACCUCAUCCAAGAACAAAUGAGCUGGCUUACGAACCACCUAUCAAACAUUAAAUUUAACCAACAUCAAUCAGAUGAACAAGAUCAGAAUAUUUGUCUGCGAUGAAAAUUAAUCUAAUUUUUUAGGGGAUCACAAGAUCUGUAAACUAUUUCCCCUCAAAUUAAUGAUUAUGAUAUUAGUUUCUGGGUUUCUUUAUUUCUGAUCUCUAUUAAAAAGAAAUGAUUUUUUUUAGUCCAAAUACGGCAUGCAUGAAAGCUGAUUGGGUGAUUUUCAAAAUUUUGGUAUUUUCAAGAAAAGAACAAAACAUAAAAUAAAAACAGAGCAUCCAUUCAAAUUUGGAAAGUGAACUUGUUACCAUAGCAGAGAAGAGUUGGCCGCCGAGCCAUGCACCGCCACCGGGGCUGACGGAUUGUUCGAUGAUGGCAAUACGAAUAUUGGGGUUUUUGCUGAGUUCGUAAGCGCAAGAGAGGCCGGCGGAGCCAGCGCCGACGAUGACAACGUCAGUAUCAGCGUAGGUGAUCAUAUCGGUCAUGUAUCGACGGGUCAUCUCUCGAGAGACAAUAGAUUCUCUGAUAGGGUUGAAUUUGAAUUGGUUUAAAUCGUAGGGAGGCUGAGAGGCGGAGGCAGAGAUGGUGAGGGACGUGGCGGCGGUGGAUUUGAGGCGGAGAGAAGAAGGAGAGGCGAGAGGUGUGCCAUGGAAAGAGGAAUCAUGAAGUAAAGAAGGUUUUUGGAGCUUGGUGGUGAGAGUGGAGGCAAUGGAAGCCAUUUUUGAAGCAGAGGAAAACAGAGGAGAUUGUAGUUUGGUGUGGGGAAGAAGAGGGGAAGGAAGAAGGGUUUUAUAGAGGAUAUUGAAGAAUGUAACAAUAUCUUACACGCUUGCAUGUAUGAUGCAUACAUUACCUAUGCAUGUAUUUCAAACAUUGAUGCAUAUAAUCGAGAUUUUCAUUUAUCCAUGUAUUUCUCUUUUUACUUUUUUUAACAUAUGAUAUAUUAAACAUAGGUUUAGCAAUAAGUAACUAAAAUUAGUGUUAUUGUAAUAAAAUUACAUUAAUUUUGAUCAUAUUUACUUACACAUUUUACAAAUGUCUUAUCCAAAUAGUUCACUUUAUGUUGUCUUCUUACUAUUGCUCUUAUUAUCAAGGGUCAACAUAUUUAUAAUUCUCUUCUUCUAAUAGUAACACCAUAAUAUCCCCUAAUGAGUUGCAUGUAAUUUCAAAUGCAUUUAGAGAUUGGUCAUCUUAUCUCUAUAAUUAGAUUGCAUUACAAAUUUGUUUGUGAGGACACCAUUUUUUCUACAAUUACAGAAUAAAUGUAAACAACAAACCUAAUUAAAUGAGACACCCUUUUCAAAUUCUCGUUUGAUUGGUUACAUUUUCCGAGUGUAUAGUCACUCUAAUUUUAUACUGUUGCAACCAAUCCAAAACCAAAUCAAAUUAAUUGACUUUAUUAAAUAGAGAACCAAAGAUGCCCAAUAGAAGAUAGAAUCUUUUUUUUUUUUUUUUUUUUUUUUUGGGUUUCUAACCAAUGGAGUCUUCUUUUCUUUCAACUUUUACUUUGAAUGGGUUACCUUUUUUUACCAUUUUUAUAGAUAAUUAUGAAAAAAGAAGUAUCCAUUGGCAUAAUAUUUGAGUUUAUUAUCACUACAGUUUUCAAGCGAUACGCUUUCUAUCCAAAUUGAAAUGGUUGGAUUUUGAUUGAUUUCUUGAUAAAAGUUCAAACCAAAAGAAUAAACUUUUUUAUUAUCUCUAAAUAAUAAAAAAAAAAAAACCCCAAUCAAAACAAGAAAUGAACUUGAUUGAAUUUGAAUUUGUUUUGUUUUUAUUUUCUUGAACUCGAGUGUAAGGAGUAUCCAAAAAUUAGGGUAAGAAAAGUUCAAAUAUUUGUUAAGUUGGGAAGAGAGAAAAUAUCUGGAAGGGGACACGUGGGAAGAAGAUAGGAAAUGAAGGGCUGAGAAUGAGGUGAUGGUGUUGGACACGCGGCAUCCAUGGCAGCCAUUUGUUAUUUCUUUUCUUUUUCUUUUGCCAAAAUGAGAUUUUUUUUUUUCUUUUUCCCAAUAAUAUGAUAUGUUUGUUGAUUUGCAAAAUAUGGAUUUGUGAUUGUGAAUCAUGAUAUGUCCGUUUCUUUCGUCAAGAUAUUUCACAUAAUCUUGUAAAAGAAAGAGAUGUUUAUAUAUAGGCCACUCAUUUUGCUUUUUACUCUUUAAACCAUUGCUACACAUUUUAAUGCGUCUUUUCAAAUAAUAAUAUUUAUGUUUAUUAAUCAUUGAUAUUUUUUUGUAUCUACUUUAAACAAGAUUAAGUAUAGAGAAAAUACAUUUACAUAAGGAAAUAUUUACAAAUUAGGAUCUAAAUGUAUUCUAUUUCCCUAAUUUAAACAACUAUAUAAUUUACGAUCACACUCUUUCUCAAACUCAAGGCGGUAAUGUAGCAAUCAACUUGAGUUUGUUAACCAAUUGAAGAAAAUGGCUAGAAGCCAAAGCUUUAAUGAAGAUAUCAACUGGUUGUUCAGUGUCGAAAUGGAGUGUAAGAGAAGAUUGGUGCUUCGAAGAUUAUGACAAACAAAAUGAUAAUCGUUUUUAAUAUGGUGGGUACUCUCGUGGAAGACAUCAUUGUGAACAAUAUGCAUGGUAUUAUAAUUAUGUCUUUAUACCCUUCUCUCGGCUCAAGCCUUUACCACACUCUUUUGUCAAGUUGCAGUUGUGCAGAGAAAUCUCAACGCACUUAGUAGUUACUAUGAAUUUCACUACGCAUAAUGUGUCUUCCAAUGCUAGAUCACAUAAAACGCAAAGGGUAUUCUAUACCAAAUCACAUAGUAGGUAUGAGAGACAUUUCAUACUAGAUCACACAACAAGUAUGAGUCAUCCUAUUCAAUAUCACACAAUAUGAAUAGGGCAUUAUACUCCAGAUCACACACUAGAAAUAGGGCAUCUCAUCUUAGAUCACACAGCAAGGACAAAACAUUCUAUCGCAUAGGGUACAAAAAUUAUCUUUUUCUAGGAAACAUUGAUUUCUCAUUUUCAUGUAAUACUAGCAUCAUCAAUAGCACAUGCCACAUAGUUUAACGUAAUUGCCUUAAAGGGACUUAAAGAGAUUGUUUUCAAGCAUUUCUUUUCAUUUGAAGGUUAUUCGAUAAGAUACUUUAUUAUGUACUCAAUCACCUUUUAUUAGUUUCAUAAUGAACCAAAUUCAUACAUAAGUCACACAUGUUUAUGGGAGUUGAAAAAGUAUAAGGAAAUCCAUGUAAACAAAUUUGUAAUAACGAUAGUUUUAAGGGUUCAAACAUAUUAGAAAUCCCUUUAUAUAUUUGAAAACAUUUGCAAGGGAGGAAAACCACUCACUGCUGCAGUGAGCUAGCUCUUCCUUCUAGCUUCCUUGACCAAGAGUUCUCCUGUGCUUUUCAGAUUCCUUGAAGGAAUGAGUUUUUCCUGCACCUUGAGACUUUGGUUAUCCUCCCCGUUCUCUCUUAAGAAACUUAAGGUAAAAACGUCUUCAGUUCGGUCUAAAAUCCUCAAUUUAUAUGUCUCUCUGGUGAAUUUUUUCAUGUCGAAAUGAUUACGCUUUACCGACGGUGAGGAGUGGCCUAAUCUCGAAAUGCCAUGUAUCUCUGUCCAAUCCUUAUCCUGAUCUAGAUUGGGUGGCGAGUCCAAUCAAUCAUCGACCUACUAACAUUAGGGUCACAUCACUGUUUCUUGAUGAGGUAGGUCAGAAUUGUCCAACUGUUCGACGCAUAACCUUCUUUGCAUGGGGACUUUCUAUUGCAUGAUCCUUUAGCGAGGCAUGGUUUACUAUCAGAAGUCUCUUUGCAAAACAUUCUUACCGCAAGGGAUUCCUUGUAUUGGGGGUACGCAAUCAGGGCCUUACACGCGAUUAGACAUUUUCCUUUAAAACACUAACCUUAUCUUCUUGGAGUGCUCAAUUCUUUAUCGCUUGACUCUCUUCUCGAAAAACAAUAGAACAUUUACUUUACCUCAUACGGUUGUCUAGUCAUCUCAUACAAACAUCCAUCCUUUCAAUAGAACACCUACUUCAUCGCAACAACACUUAGGUGCAAACACUUCUCCUCGAGUUACUACAUAGGACAUCUAGUUCUUUGCGUUAAAUGCAUGUUUCUUCUUUCCUAGCUAAUCAUCGCCUUGCUUCAAGGCAAUAGUUACUAUAAGUAUCUCUCGUUGUGUCACCUCUCCUUAAAGGCACCCUUCAUCGCAUAAUGCUUUUUACUUACAUUUAACUAAAAUGACUCUUAUUAACAGGGCUCCUCUUCAACAUGACUCACUUUCUCCAGAUUAGAGCCUCAAGUGGACUAUUGAGGUACUCUCAUAUCCGUAAGGAUCCAUGGAAGUCAUGAUAGUUAUAAAGUAGCAUUAGCAGAAGCCCAAUAUUAUGAUUUAGUGCUGGAAAAGAAGACAACAUUUUGCUUUUUACCCUACCAUGAUAUUAUGGGAUUACUUAAAUAGAAGGAAUAAAUGAUGGUGGAGUGUCGAUCAUUAGGAUCAUCAACCCAAUCAACAUCAAAGUACCCAGAUAACACCAGAGGUGUCGAGAAGAGAAAUGAAAUCUAUGUCUCAAAGUACCUUUGAGGUAGUGAAAAAUGUUCCAUCAACUUACUAACAAUGUGCACAACAUAUGCAACGUUAGGACGAAUCACUAUCAGAUAAAUGAGGAUGCCAAUAAGUUGCCUCUAAAGAUUGAUAUCAUCAAGAGGAAUACCCUCUUACGGUGUCAAGUGGACAUUGGGAUCAAGAAGUGUUGGUGUCUUGAUGGAGUAAAUGAUACGGAGCAGGCUAAUAGAUCAGAGACAUUUGGCUUGAGAAAACAAGUAACCAUCAAGACAUGUUGAUACCUCAAAAACAAGAAAGUAAUUAAGAGAGUUUAAGUCUUUCAUUUGAAUAACUAAGAUCAUGAUAUCUACCGUUGCAACACUAAGAUAGCCCGAGGAUCAUCACCACUGAUAAUCUUGUCCAAUACCAUGAAGAAAAAUUAGAGAAUUUAUGACGGAAGAGUUUACAAGUUUUUUUUUACAAAAUGUAGUUCCAAAUUAUUGUAUGAAUAAGUGCUUGCGAAAAGAACUUCUAAUUUUUUGGAGGGAAAGCCGUUUUCUUCAAAUAAGAUGUCUUGAAACUUGUGGUUUGUUAACAACAAACAUAUUAUAUUUACAUAGUAAAGUUUUUAAAAGGUUAUUAAAUAAAAUUGUUAUUGAACAUGAAUGAAUUGCUUAUUUCAUAAUAGAAAACCAUAAAUCUAAUAAACUAAGAUCUAUGGUUAUGAGUACGAGUACUUGAACUUUAUGUAAUAAUGUAAGAAACUCCCAAUGAAGUGAGAACUAUGUUGGGUGUUGGCCUCAUCUUCUAACGGGAGAAGUCGUCCAGAAAUGGAUUGUGAAAUUUGUGAUGGAGACAACUCCCAAUGAGCCAAAGGAUGCCAUUGGGAACUCGUCCCAACCCUCGACGACAUUCAUUAAUAAGGCGAAGAUGAUAUGAACUGAUUUUGGCUUGAUCCAGGUAGGUCCAAAAUGCUAGAUAUUUAUUAAUUGAUUAACUAGUUUCUUGAUUGAGUCUAAUGAGUACUGUGUAACUAAUAGUAAUAGUAAUGAACCAAUCCUAUAGAUUAAAAUCAAGUAGGUUUUGCAUGAAAAUCCCAUAAUUUUAUAACAUUAUCAAAAGCUUUGAGUUGAAAAUGGAUAGUAGGAAUAGAUAUGUUAUCAAUCCAAGUGAUAAUUUGGUGAUUCUUACUGUCUCAAUCUUUUCGUCAUUUAACAAACAUACUAUCAUCUUUCUUGUCCAAUGUAGUUUGUUUAGCAACAUCACCAAUGAAAAUUUUCCGUAGUCUAUGUUCAAUUAAAAAAAAUUCGUUUGAUGGGUUCAUGCAUUUAAGAUAAUUGGUCCCAUCAACAACAGUACUAAUAGAACAAAAAAUGUGAUUUUUUUCAUUAAGGACUGAACAUAAAUUAACCACCAAAAUACACAACAAGAUUGAAAACAAACAAAUCUAAGUUAAAUCACAACGAGCAGAGACUAAAGUGCCAAUGAUCAGAAUAGGUGCAGGACCAGUUAGAAGCUGGAAUGAGUAGACGUAGAAUAUGUUUAGAUAGUUAUGAUAUAUUAUUUAAUUUAAACACCAGGUGUUUGUGAUUAUAUUUAUUUUUUCACUGAAAAGACACCAUCAUAUGAUUGGAGAUAUUUUCUUUUCACUUAUAUACAAUCAAUUAAUGAAUGAAAAAUAUGGUGUUAAUUAACAAGGUAUUAGUUGUGAAGUAUUAAAUAAUGGUAAAAAUUGAAACAAAUUUGUUUUGUAUUUUGGUAGAAGAGAUAUUAUUAAAUUGAGAAGGGGUAUAUCUGCUAUCACAGUCAUGAAAAAGAGAGAAAUUAAAGUGGCGAUGGGUAGCUACAUCACAUCUCAACUUGCUCCCCUCCAUCCACUAUUUUUCGUCUUCUUUCUUCUUCGACGUGAGGAUGAACUAUCAUUGGAUUUAGAGGUGGUCCAUACAACUUCAAGAUUUUUUUGGUACCAAAAUCACUUUAUAAAUUAUAGUCUAAACCAUGUUACUCUACUUUUUUUUUUUUUUCUAACAUCUCCCUCCUUUCAACAAUAUUUUUAUUGUAUCUUACAAAAAUAUAGAAGAAUAAAAUAUCACUAAUCUACUUACAAUAUAAAUAUAAUAGACAAUAGAUAUGUAACGAAAUAUUUAUGGAGAAUUAUUGUCAAUUGCAAACGUUGUGAAAAUAUUUAGAAAGUUUAGCAAGAUCUAUAUGUGAGAUUUUUCUAUAUUUUUUAAGUAUUUUUAUUUAUUUUGCUAUAUUUGAAAUGAAUACAAGGUUUAUUUAGUGAUUUAAAUUAAAUUUUUUUAUUUUUAUAGUUUUUCUAGAAAUGUUCAACCAUAUAGACUAAAUUUAUGUAAAAUUAGCACUUUCAUAUUUUUGUAGAUAUCAACAUUUUAAUCCUUCAUUUUAAGCAUGAGAUUUAACUAAUCAUGUAUCUAUAUUUUAUUAUUUUAUGUUCUAUUUUAGAUUUGUACUCUCUUCUGCAUUUUCAAUAAAUCAUAAAUUAGUCCUAGUUUACUAUAGUAAAGCUAAUUUUUUUAAAAAAUAAUAUAGCAAAAAAAAAUUCUCUAACCAAUGCAAAAAAAUCCAAAAUAUCUAGCUUACUUCUCUCAACCAUGAUCAUUGUCAAUACCUAAUAGACAUUGAUAGUCUAUUAUUACUAUUUAUGAUAGUCUAUUACUCUAGAGUGUCUAUAACUGAAUAGUUGGUUGUUAAUAAGAAAGUUGAUGAUGAUUGUUCUUAAUCUUAUGCUCCUUAAUUUGGUUUUAAGGAAUUAGUUGUCAUUUAAUAUUUAUUGAAAAUAUAUAUUGUUAUUGGGAGAGAGCAAUUUUGAAAGUAUUCUCUAGACUUAAGCAUAUUAAUUUCUUCUUACUCGAAAAGAUAAAAGAAAACAUGUGUAUUUGAAUUAUCUUAAAAACAUUAAGAUCUAGGGAUUAAAAGAAUGCAAGAGCUUGCAUUGAUGGUGGUACACAUGUGUUCCCUACACCUCAAAAUCAACCAUCAUCUCAAGUAGCUCAAAAGGAAAUUAAAGGUCGAAGCUAUAGAGUAGCAAGAAGGAGCUGAGUAUUAAAUCAUUUUGGGUUGUAUAUAUACAUAAUAGAAAUCACUCCAACUCAAUUCAGAAGACGUUUGAAACCAAGAAUUUCUAACCUAAAUUUCAUUAGCUUAUUUGACAUCAUUAGUCCGCCAUCUAAAGUCAUGGCUUAUUCAUCUAUAAAUAUAAGCUACCUACAACUUUUGAGUUGUAUAACAAAAUUUUAAGAGAUUAAGGGAUCAAGUUUAGAGAUUAAAAUUGAAUAUUUUUUAAAGUUUAGAGACCAAACUAAAAUAAGAUUCAAAGUUCAAUAGGGGAAUAUCAAAUUUAAACCAAACUAAAUACGUUUUUUACAUACUGAUUUGUAUUUAUUUUUUAAAUAACCAAAACAUUUUCAUAGUGGGUUUGAUGUAAACCAAAUUGGAGAGUUUUACUAAUGUUUAAAAGUUGUUAAUAUAAGAAGAAAAGUACUCUAUUUAUAGCAAACUGUUAAAUGAAAAUUUUGAGUAAACAAGUAUUUACUAUUAUUUUAUUCAACACAUACAUUUCCACAUUGCUAAGAAGUCUCCUUUAUAAACUCAUAGAUCCGCUCAUGGGUUUGGGCCCUAAAGACACUCAAGUUUUGGAAGGAGUGAGUAGAUAGUUAAAUGUAGAUAUGCUUAUAUCUCCACGUGCACCACCACUGCCGUCUGUCGAGUGAGGCGAGGAGGAAUAAAAUAAUAAUAUAUAUAAUUUUUGGUAAAUUAAACACUUUCCAAAGUCGAAAUAAUAUCCAAAUUAAAUGGUAUUUAUCAAUCAAUUUUCUUUUGUGUUUUAUAACCAUUGGUUGCCUCCACACUCACUAUAUAUAUCAAUCUAAUUCUUCUCUUCAAUAUACAGAAAUUAUAUAUAUUAAUGAUGAAUUGGACUCUCUUGAAUUCAAUAGAACUUGGCACCUAGUUGACUUACCUGACCUUAGCUGCAAAGCAAUAGACUGUAAAUGGAUUUUAAGGAAGAAACUCAAACCUGAUAGAUCAAUAUAUAAGUAUAAGGCUAGACUAGUAGCAAAAGGUUUUAGGCAGAGGAAAAACAUAGAUUUCUUUGACACCUUCUCUCCAACCACUGAUUUCUAUAGUUUUCAUUAACAAUCUCUUAAUACAUCAAAUGGAUGUUAAAAACUGCUUUCCCUAAAUGAUGAUUUAGAAGAAGAGAUUUAUAUGGAACAACCUUAAGAUUUCAUAGUUCACCGUUAAGAAUCUAAAGUUUAUAAAUUAGAUAAAUCCUUCUAUGGCCUAAAACAAGCUCCUACGCAAUGACACGAAAAGUUUGACAACUUAAUCAUUUCCAAAGGAUUCAAAAAAAUGAGAGUGACAAAUGUAUUUACUAUACGACUGAAGAUAGAUUAUGCACUAUCAUAUACUUAUACGUAGAUGACAUGUUAAUAUUUGGAUCAAACCUACACGUCAUAAAUUAUGUAAAAUCAAUGUUGAGCACAAACUUUGACAUGAAAGACUUAUAAGAAGAUAAUGUGAUCCUAGACAUCAAAAUUACCAUAACUAAAAAUGAAAUGUUCUUAGAUCAAUCUUAUUACAUAAAAAAGAUCCUAAAGAAGUACAAAUACUUCGAAAGCAAACCAGCUUGUACACCCUAUGACUCUAGUGUUAAAUUGUUCAAAAACACUGCUGGCAGUGUUAACCUAUCAGAGUACGCUAGUAUCAUAGGUAGUUUGAGGUAUGCUGUUGAUUGCACUAGACCAUACGUAACUUACGCUGUAGGAUUACUAUGUAGGUUUACCAGCAAAUCUAGUCUAGAACAUUGGAAUGCUAUAGAAAGAGUAAUGAGAUAUCUUAAGAAAAUACAAAAUAUAAGAUUACAUUAUCAAAAGUUUCCCGCUAUACUUGAAGGUUACAACAAUGUUGAUUGAAACUUUCUCUUAGAUGACUCAAAGGGUACAAGUGGCUAUAUUUUUAAUAUAGCAGGAGAAACUGUUGCUUGAAAAUCCAAGAAACAAACAAUAUUAGCCUAGUCAACGAUAAAGUUAGAGAUGAUAGAACUAGCUACUGCUAGUGAAGGAGCAAACUUGCUAUAAGAGAUUCCCACACGGGAAAGAUUGGUACCGGCAAUACUAAUCCAUUGUGAUAGUACUACAACUAUCGCAAAAGUUCAGAAUCAUUAUUAUAACAGUAAGAGACGACAUAUACGUCGUAAACACAUUAUCAUUAGAGAUUUUCUCACUACUGGUGCAGUGAUAAUAGAUUAUGUUCGAUCUGAUGACAACUUGGCUGAUUCUUUGACGAAAGGACUAGCAAGAGAGAAGGUCUUUAAAACGUCAGAAAGAAUGAGACUCAAAAUUUAUAGAAAAUUUAAUUACUUGUGAGGUAAACCCAACUUGAAAGACUGAUCCCAAGAAACAAGUUUAAUGGGUAAUAACUGAUCACAAGCAAUAUGAUGAAAAUCAUGCUAAAAUAUUAGAAGUUCCAUUCUUAUGAUUGAAUAAUUAGCAUGACAUCCUGAAGUGUAUGAGAAGGCUAAACUUUGUUCUUAAUGAAAUAUAUACUUGAUAUCAAGUAAGGUACCUAGCUACAUAAGUACUCUUGAUAGCUUCACCUUUGUGAAUGUGGAAGUGAGAGUUGCUUCCUUUGGAAUUUUGGACAAAUUCCUAGAACAUUCACUAAACCGGGUUAUACGUGCAAGGCCAUAAAUCACAAGCUAUUUUAGAACUUCACUCGAAUAAUGUUGUGUGGACAAUAGUAUUAGAAGUAAAGUUCAAAACUACAAGUUACUUUACAAUACUCUAAACUGUUGUCACUACUUAAAGGUUCAAGUCAUUAGACACCUUUACUUAAGCACAAUAUUAUAGAGAUAGACACUGAUCGAUGGAAACGUUUUAAAACAAUUUCAAGUGGGGGACUGAUAGUAUGAAUAUUUCAAGUGGAAAAUUGUUAAAUGAAAAUUUUGAGUAAGCAAAUAUUUAUUAUUAAUUUAUUCAACACAUGCAUUCCUGCUAGUAAUGUGGAUGUCUACUUUGUAAACUCAUAGAUCCAUUUAUGGGUUUAGACCCUAAGGGCACCCAAGUUUUGGAAGGGGUGAGGAGAUAGGAAAAUAUAGAUAUACUUAUAUCUCCACGUAUGCGCACCCCGCCAUUGUUGGGUGUGGAGGAAUAAUAUAAUAAUAAUAUAUACUUUUUCUAAACUGUUUUCUUAUUAUAAACAUUUUUGGUAAAUUAAACACUUUCUAAAACUGAAACCGUAUUCAAAUUAAAUGGUAUUUAUCAAUCAAUUUUAUUUUGUGUUUUAUGAUCGUUGGUUGCCUCCAAAUUUACUAUAUAUAUGAGUCUCAUUCUUCUCUUCAAUAUACAGAAACGAUUUCUCUCCCAAAAAAUUUCUUCUGAGCAUAUGAGUGUUUAUCUGAGUGUUGUGAAUUCUGAUUAGUUUUGAUAUAAAACUAAUUGAAGAACGAUGUAUUUUAUCAUGGGGACGUCGAGGCAAUCAAACUGUUUUGGACAAAGGAGCAGAGACGCAAAACGUCUUAAAGAGAGCGAGAUUCGCGACUCAACCAUUUUCUCAAAAGUUUUUGUUUUGUAGUUUGCGUUUUGACCAAGCGUUUGACCACUAGGCGUUUUGAUCAAUUGGCGAGAUAGUCAGUAAGCGAGAUAAGUUGAGGAGGUGAUAACUAGGCGACUUGGUCAGACGAGAUACCAGUACAUUACACGAGAUACAAGGCAAAGAAGCACGCAUUUUGUCUAGACAUUUUGCCUAGGCGUUAAGACUUCUCAUUGCAUCACUCCUUCGAGUCAAAAAGCAACAACACAAACUAAUCCUAAUCCUAAUUAAUAAAAGAAACUAAUCUUUAAUCCUAAUAAAUAAAAGAAACUAAGCCUAAUCCUAAUAGAUUAAGGAUUUUAUCAUAAUAUCCUAUUCCUACUACAUCAUUCUAUAAAAAAAAAAACUCGUCCUUAAGUUUUAAAAUGAAAAUGAAUGUGAAAAUAAUAAGUAAACUAGUCGAAUAAUAUCCCAAUUUUGUGAUACCUAACAAUCAAUUCUAGAACUAAUACGAUAAAGAAGAACUCCAUUGUCAAAGAAUAUGCAGAUUUAUCAAAAAAAUAAACUAUCACUCAUUUUGUAACUGUGAUGAAAGUUCAAUUGUGGUUGAGUUUUUAAUUCUUCAAUAGGUUUCAAUUUGGGUCAAAUAGAUUAUAGUAAGAGAUAACGCGUAAAUAGCAAAAUAGUAAAUAACAAACUAAAAUGUAGCAAAUUUAAGAAAUAUUAAGAUUUAUAUCAAAAACGCCGGUUGCUGAUUUUUUUUUUUUUACUUUUUUAUACCCAAUUAUACUCUUUUAUAUAAGACAGUUUAUUUCUCACAUAUAUACAAUGUAUUUGAAUAGAUCAAAAAAUGAGACAGAAGAUCACAGAUUCACUAGCACAAUGUAUUUGUUAACAACAUUCAACUUUGGUAAGUCUUAACUAAAUAUGAUAUUUUAUUGCUGAAGAAGAUUGCACUAACAUCUCUUAAAAAAUAUGGCUGUAAUUUCUUUUAGAUUUUCGGAUGCUUAGCAUUUAAAUCAAUCAAUUAACAAUUUAUUUCUAUAAUUCAUAAUAGAUAUAUUUAAUAACGAUUUGAAUUCAAAUUUUGGAUAAUACCCCUAAAAUAAUAGUAAAGAUAAAUUCAAUAAUUUGGAUUCUUUAUAUUUCAUACUAUUUAUCAAAAUUUUAUUAAAUAAUAUAUAAUACAUAUUUUUAAUAACAAUUUAAAUUCAGAUUUUAUACCAUCCGCUAAAAUUGUCAAUUUGAAUUUAAAUGUUACAUAAUAUCCCUAAAAUAUUGGCGAGGAAAAAUUCUUAAUAACAAUUUGAAUUUAAAAAUUAAAAUUAAAAUUGUUUAAUUUAAAAUUUAACAACUUAUAUUUAAAAAAAUAUAUAAAACAUUUAUUAAAUAAUACAUGAUACAUAUUUUUAAGGGGAAUUUUUAAAAUAGUAGAUUUUACAAAAUAUUUACAGCUAUAGAAAAUUAUAAUUCUAUCACUCAUAGUCAUUUACAAAAUUUUGUUAUAGCUCAUAAAUAUUUUAAUUUAUUUUGUUAUUUUAAAAAAUGCUUCUAUUUUUAAUAAUAGUUUGAAUUUUAAAAAAAUUAUUCGUGAUAAUUUCUAUUAUCAACUUAUUUUGGUUGAUUUUUAAUAACAAUUUAAAUUUAAAUUUUACAUCAACCCUCUAAAAUAAUGUAAAAAAUGAAUACACCAUUUUUAGGAUUUUUAUAUUCCAAACAAUUUAAUAAUAUUUUAAAUUCAAAUUUUAGAUCCCAAAAUAAUGCCAAUUACGAUUGUCCAUUUAUUUUUACCAAUUUGAUAACAACUUCAAUUUUCUUAAUUUAACCAAAUCAAUUUAAUUUAUUUUUACCAAUUUGAUAAGAACUUCAAUUUUCUUAAUUUAACCAAAUUGAUUUAUUGGUUAAGUUGGUCAGGUUUGAUUGUGUUGAUUUUCUAUAGAGUUACAAUGUACUUAUACAUACUUUCUAGAUUAGUUUCACAAUAUUUGACAUAAUGUAUAGCAUAUGUUGCUCACAAAAUUACAAUGUAAUUUUAUGCUUUUAAAUAAUGUGAUAAACUAGUCGUUCUAUAUUACGAUCACAUGUUCAAAUAUUAAUAUUUAUUUGCUCCUAUAAUAAUGUACUUUUGCAAUUCAAAACAGUUACCAUUAUAAUAAUGUACUUUUAAUUAAUGCGAUAAACUAGUCGUUCUAUAUCACGAUCACACGUUCAAAUAUUAAUAUUUAUUUGCUCCUAUAACCAUGUACUUUUGCAAUCCAAAAAAGUUACCAUUAAGAUAAUUUGUUACAAAACCAACAAUAAGAACUAUUUCCUAAAUAUUGACAUUGAAUCAUAAUCAUGGUUGUUUAAUUAACCGAACUUUAUAAUAACCCAUAGAAUUAAGAUUUUCCAAACAUAGUAUAUGUUGAGUAUGAAUGAUGUUAUAAACAACAAACUUGGGACACAAACAAAAAGUAAAAUUUUGGUCAUCAAGAUAUAGUAUCAUUCCAUUGGGUAUAAGAUAAUCAGAUAUUUCAAAUAGAGUGUAUUUGAAUAGCUCAAAAAAAGAGACAGGAUAUUAAAAAUAGCACGAAAACAAUGUAUUUUGCAAACAACAUUCAAAUUUGGUAGACUUAACUAAAUCUGUUAUUUUGUUGCUCGACAAGAUUGCAGCAACCUCUCCUAUAAUAAUGACAAAUAUAUCUACCAGAUUUUGAGGUUUGUUAUAUUUUAAACCAUUUAUUAGUAAUAUCAGUAAUUAUUACAAUUUCUUAAAUGACCUUAAAUAUAUUUUUUCCUCUCCCUUGUUUCUUUACCAAUUCAUUAAGCAUUAUAUCUUGUAAGUUAAUCACUAAGGAUAGUUUAAUUUUAACAAAUCACCAAUCUUAAAGACAUUUAAGUUGAAAAAUAAAUACUUCCAAAAUAUGUGUUGUUAAUAACAAUUUGAAUUUAAAAUUUUAUCAACCUUAAAUUCGUGGUUGAUGUCCCAAAAUAAUGGAAAACAUAAAUUCAACAUUUUUGGAUUAUUUAUAUUUUAAAAUAUUUAUAAAAAUUUGAAUUUAAAUACCUCAACAAUACAUAUUGUUAAUAACAAUUUGAAUUUAAAAUUUUAUGAUCCCCUAAAAUCAUGCUAAUUGGUUGGUUUUUAUUUUAAAAAACUAUUUUAUCGUGCAAAUUGCAUUGAAUAACUAUGUUGAGACAUUGUGUUUUUAAAUUACGUUAAUAUUCAUGUUUAUCUUCGUUAGAUGUUUUCUUUUUUGUGUUACAGUUUUUGUCAAAAGCUUUCAAAAUGGCUUUUAUGUUUAGGACAGAAUUGUAAUUAUACUUCAUCUCCUUCUUUAGGUCUUAUAAAUUAGAGAAAAGAAAAGAAGUAGGACAAAUAAGAAGAGGGGGCUGCAAGCUAAAAAAACACAGUAGAGAGAGUUUUUUCUAGCAAAAAAGAUUGAUAGAGAAGAGUGCAGUGCGGCGAUUUUCGGUGUUCCAACAUAAAGAGAGACGUUGGUCGACCGAGAGGAAGACGUCAGAGGUUUAGCCAUUGGGUUUUGAGGCAGACAAAAGCUAACGAUUUUGUGGCUUUACAACGGCUACAACGUUUGUUUCGAUAGCUUCGCGAUGGGUUUAACGACUGGUUAACUAUGGUUUUCGAGCUGACAGAGGUUGGUUUAGUCGUGGGUUCUUCUUGGGGCAAUCGACGCAAGUGACAAACAUAGUGAGAGAGAGUUUUUGUGCAAACAAGAGAGGAGAAAAGUACAAUCAACAAAGAGGAAAACAUCACAGUUUCAACGUCAAUGGCGAGAUGAACAUCUCAAAGUCUUUGGUCGGAGGAGGCGGCAAGAUGAAAAUCCUAAAGUCUCCAGUCAGAGGAGCCAACAAGAAGAAAAUCCAAGUAUGAAAACUUUGAUGGGUUUAAAGGAGACGAGUUGGAAGCUCCAAUAGAUUUUGAAAAAGUUUGAUUUUGAUAGGUGUUAAUUGUGUAUUGGGAGUUUGAUUUUAAUAAUUGGGUAUUUAUGGUUCUUUUAAUAAUUGUAUUUAUGAUUCAAUUUUUUCAGUUAGGUAGGAGCACUCGAGACAUUGUUAUAGCAAUUAUUUUUCCAUAUUUUUUCGAUUCGGUUAUUUUAUCAAUUUAAAUAAAAAUUUGUCAUUUAUUCAAAAUAAACCCAAUAUUUUUCUAUUUUUCUGGUCCGCCCUUGUAGUAAUAUUGAGUGGACUUCAAAAUUGAUCUAGGUUUGGAGAUGAUAGGUUGAGCUUGAGAAGACCAAAAUUUUGUUUGGAAUAAAUUGGAUCAUCUGGGUUGGGUUAAGUGAAGGAAAACUGCAGCUGAUGGAUGGAUUAUAUAUGAAACACAGUACAAUAAAUUCUCGAUCUUCCACCGCUAGUUUUAAAUCGUCAGAAGAAAUGGCAUCAGAGAUGUGGUAUCGUCCAACGCACCACCCUAACAUGCCUAAAUUACAAACUACUAGUUCACAUGCCUAAAUUACAUCACAAAAGAAAUAGAAAUAAUAAAUAUACGAAAGGCCAUUAAUUACAAAGAAUAAUAUACAGAUUAUUUUCAUAUAUAUAUGAAAAUAUUUUCCAAUAUCCCCACAAAUUGGUGAUUUGGUUUCUUUGUACGGUUGAACCAUUCUUGCCCCAUGUAGCUUAAUGUUAGACCGUCAAAUCUUUUGUUAGGAUUCCAACCUACCCAGAGGUACUCAAGAAUAAACAGACAGCUCAAGAACAACUAAUUAUGAAAAAAUAUUGUUAGAACUGAUGUCCAAAAGAAUUGUUGUUCCGUGACAAACCACUGUUCUAAAAACAAUUACGGUACAACCAUGGUACUAAACACGAUGUCGGUUGCUUUUCAAGGUUAACACAACUCUUCAACUUAAACGUAUACUUGUUGGAAUAAGGAAUAGAAUCAAGAAGCUAAAUUAUGCCAAGGGAUGAAAGUUGAGAUGAACCGACGAUAAUAAAAGGAGAAAAAAAGAAACGACUAGAAUAAUCCUAUAGAUAUGAUAAACAAAAAACAAAAAGGAGAAUAAUCCUAUCACUAGAAACACACUUUACUUUUACAAUUAGCAUGCAGUGAUAUUUAUACCCUCUACGUAGUACUAAACAGUUCAAUGUGUGGGACAAAAAUCUGUCUUAUCCUUUACUUAUGGGCAUAAGUCCAUAAAUCAUUUCAAUAAAUGCCCGCCAAGUGACUAUUACAACAACGUUAAGAAGUAAACAAAAGAAAACAAAAGUUUUAAGAAAUCUAUUCUGAGCUAAGAUAGGAGAUCAAGAUUAUGCAUCAAUAUAUUGUAAUGAUUUGAAUUGAUUGGUAGUGUUGCAAGACGACUAACAGAGCGAGUGAGUUACAAAGCAAGAUCUCAAAAUUGGGCAGCGAUCCUUCUCAUGCGUUUAAAACACGGGACUCAACUACUAUCUUCCUUGGACUCACAAAUGUCUUCUCUUCAGCCUUGACCCGAAUUGGGGCUUCAACUUCCACUCUUAGACUCUGCCCAAUAAGCAAACCCAUGAGUCCCCAUUUUUCCUUCUUCAUUUCCAUUGACGUUGUUCUUCUGUAAUGAUUAUAGCAACCUUUGCUUAAUUCACCUCCUCUGCCCAUAUAUAAGAUAAUAAGUUUAACAACCCCUUUUAACUUAGCUUGCCCCAAAUGAAAAACUCUUCAAAUAUUAAUCCUAUAAAUCACUAUCUUUCUUAAAUGAAAGAGUGGGAUUCCAGCAAUUCAAGCCUAUAACCCAGCAUGUGGCUAUGGGCCCAUAAUUUAUUUGUCUUCCUUAAAGAGUAACAUUGAGUUUCUACAAAUUGUAGUCCAUAUUCAAGCCCAACAUCCUACUCAAUUUUUCCUUUCCAUAUUCCUCCUCCAAAGUAACGCUUGUCCUCCCUCCCAUUUACAUUUUACUAAGUAAUAACCCACCUUUGGCUGCAUCAAAAUAGAAUAAUGGGCUGUGUUGUGAUUCUGUGAAGUUAAAUUCAACUCUCCCGCAAGCCCUUCGCAUUUGUUAAAACAAUAAAAAAAUUAGUUGUUUUUGUUACUUUGAACUACUGUAACUGAUACUUGUUUGAGAGUGAGUUAUUUUGUUAAAAACAUAAACAAAAUAACAGUUUUAAUUCUUGUAGCUUAAAAAGGAAGCUUAGUAGAAAAAGUGAUGUAAGAAAAACUCAUCUGUAUUUUUUUGGCUUUUUGAAAACAUUUUCAUCUUAAAUAAUCUGUUGAAUAAAAGUGUGCUUGGAGACUUUGAAGAGUUCAUGUAAGCAAAUUUGUUGAACAAACCAUAGUUGUAUGUUCUUCUCAUUCUCUUCGUGCUCCAUUGAUCUUUGGAAGGCCAUUGUUGAAACUCUCAUCCAUCUUUUCUCUCUUGGUAACAUGCAAAACAAAAGGAAGAAAAUAAUUAAUAUACCUAAAGGUAGAGAACGUAGGUUUUGUAAUAAGGGUCAACCAUAAGAAUAUCAAUCUACAAUUUGUCAUUUAGAAAAAUAGCAAAACUGUUUUUUUUUUUCUUUUAAAAAAGGGCAAAACGAAUAAAAAUACAAUAAAUAGAAAUAUAAUCCAAAAUGCCCUUAGAUAUAUAGAAUGCCAGCUACUUUCUAAAGCUAAAAUAAAGUCUAAUUACACUAAUAAAUUCUCGAACAUAAUUAUCCUUACAUGUCCAAUCAAACUUAGAAUCCUUUUAAUCUUCACUUUCUAGCACUCUUGCAGUCAUCUUCAUUUUCCAUUUUCUUUUUCGAUAAUUAUUCAUAUCAAAGUCUUCAAGUUACAUAUUUAAUCUUCAAAUUACAAUUCCAUUAUUCCAUCUUCACCAAGCAGGCAAAACCUAAUCUCCACCCUCCAUUUUGCAAGUUACAAUUCCAUUUGAAGUACUUCAUCCUGCAUUUUUAUCUUCUUGUAUUUAAAACAUAAGAUUUUAUUAACUUCAUAUUUUUCACCAUCUUAAGGAAAAAUAUUUAAUUUAUAUUAGUAAUAUUUUAUAUAGAUUUUAGAGCGGUUUUAUCUAAAAAACGCAACAUUUUUGGGAUAUUUUGUUGGGAUAAAAAAAUAGAAUAAACCAAAAUUCAUUUAAAAAUCCUGAACAAUAGUGUUCUCUAAUAUUGAUUUGAGGUCAAGAUACCAUCCAUUCAAGGUUUGGGAAGUAUAUACUCUUAAGACAACAUUCAAAACGAGGUAUGGGCAAUAUGAGUUUUUAGUGAUGCCAUUCGAUUUAACAAAUGCACCUACAGUUUUCAUAGACCUCAUGAACAAUAUUUUCCAUCAUUAUUUAGAUUAGUUUGUGAUAGUGUUCAUUGAUGAUAUAUUAGUUUACUCAAUUGAUAGGAAAGUCCAUUAGGAAAAUAUGAGGAUUGUUCGAUAGACAUCACGUGAUAAAUAGUUGUAGGCUAAGUUCAACAAAUGUGAGUUCUGGUUGAAACAAGUAGUGCUCUUAGGGCAUGAAGUUUCAACAAACGAAGUUAGUGUUGAUUCGUAGAAAGUGAAAGAUGUUGUCAACUGAGAGAGACGAACUAGUGCAACAGAAGUACAUAGUUUCCUAGGCCUUGCAGGAUACUACAACCAUUUUAUUGAGGAUUUCUCACCAUUUGCAUUACUCUUAACAACUUUGACAAGAAGAAUGCUAAGUUUGAGUGGUCGGAUAAUAUGAGACUUUCCUUUGACAAAUAAUCUCAUCUCCACUAUGUUGAUCUUUUUUAGAUGAACUGUGAGCUUCCUCUGGUACAACAUCCAUAAGCUCACUAAUACUCGAAACACACAGUCUUCUUUUCUUAACUAUGACUUCAUAUAUUCUCAACUCAAACUCUACCUCUGAGCCUUACUUUCAUGACUUUCCAAGUAUAUUAUGUAAGUUACUAUCCUCUAGUUAUCUUCUCACAAUCUCUACUACUAGAGAAGACCUAACCUGAAAUUAAGCUACAAGACUCAUUGUACUCUCUACAGUCAUAGCCCUAUUAAAGCCUCUUAACUCACUUAUCAAACUUGCUCGAAUGCCAUACAAGGCACUCUUUGGAAGUCUAGACUUCAUAUUGAAUGCAUUUGCUACUAUGUUAUUCUAUGGUAUUCUAUGGUACAGUCACAACUUAUAAUCAGUUCUAGCCAUCACCUCUAUCUUAAAUUAAACUCUUUGAUCAAAGAUAUACUUCAGACUCUUACCGAUAUGUAAAAAUGUGGCACACUUCUCAUCGAAUAAAUAAUUUCUCUAGAUUUUCAUUGCUAAAACAACUAGUGCUAGCUCAAGAUCAUGGUUAGGGUAAUUAUAUUCAUUGUUCUUCAACUGUCUUGAAGCUUAGCUAUUAACUUCCCUUCCUACAUAAGGGUAUAACCUAAUCCUUGGGCUCGAGGCGUCACAAUAGAUCAUGUACUCCUUCUCUAUUUCAUGAAGUGUCAUAAUAGAUGCUAUGACUUGAAUCUCUAUCAAAACAAGGCAUCCUACCUGAUGAAACCAGUAAGAAGCUGUCUUUUUGUAAACAUUGUGUGUUAGGGUGAAAGCAAGAAAAAAAUACUUCUCCAAAGCCCAACACACUACUAAAGGAAUCCUUGACUUCAUCCAUUUGGAUCUAUGAAGACUAUCCUCAACUCCAAGCCUAGGUGGCUCAAGGUACAUUUUAUCCUUUACUGGUGAUUUCUUUAGAAAAAGUUGGAUUUAUUUUCGAAAAACUAAAAACGAAGUCUUGAAAAAAAAAAUUAAAAUGGAAAUUGAUGAGAGGAAAACAAAAAGAAAAAGAUAUUAAAUAUCCUAGAACCUAUGAUGGUUUGGAGUUUUGUGGAGAG
rnacentral:lncRNA from 1 species